AACACGUAAGGGUGUGGAAGGAAGAGAAAAAAUUCAGAAACGCUUUUCUCUUACAGUAAAGAGCAAAAAAAAUUCUGCUCUUUAAAGGAAAUGGGAAAAUUUAGGGAGGGUGAUAAAAUAGGAAGUGUAGUCGGUACGAUGUAAAUAAGAUAUACACGUCGAAAGGGAAUGCUUGAGAGAUUAGGAAUCCCAGCUAUCGCCAGCCGGCUGGGGUAUGUUUGGGUAUACAAGAAGGUGGAAUGGGAUGGAGUUGGUGAAGGAUAAAAGGAUAACGAAAGUCAGACAACACGUUGCUUAAUCUUAAGGAGAAACUUUUGCACGUUAGCUUACGUAUCAGUAUAUAAGGAUAACGUGGAUAAAAAAAUGUUUCAUCAAAACAAGGGAUGGUUAAGGGAUACAAUCAAAUUUGUAAAAUCAAAAUAACGUGAAGCCAAAUAAUAUGCUGCAGAUCUCCGUAUAAGCGUAACGACCUGUAUGAAUCAUUCGACAAGAUUUCUAACAAGGUAUCCUGAGAUUUAUAUGCAAAUGGAAAGAAUGUACGGCAGAAAUAGCUGGUAAGAAAUACCUCGAUGGAUUAAUGGGAAAGCACAGGAUGAUUGGGUAAAAUGCUCAACGUAUAGAGAAUAAUACAUAGAAGUAAAGAAAAACAGAAAAAAAAAGGGCCGAAAAAUAUUUUAAUGGAAGAUAAACACAACGAUUUAUCGGUCUUGACAGAAGGAAUUGAAUUGUCCGAUAGAUAUGGUAGUGUUUGAUUAGAAAAGAAUAAAGAAUAAAUAAAUAAAA